UGUGACCACAUUGAAUAAAUCCUUCUCCAC
rnacentral:piRNA from 1 species